rnacentral:lncRNA from 1 species
UUGUAAAAUUCAUACCUAAUAAACAAUUUAGGACAGUCAUGUCUGCUUACAGGUGUUAUUUGUCUGUUAAAACUAGUCUGCAGAUGUUUCUUGAAUGCUUUGUCAAAUUAAGAAAGUUAAAGUGCAAUAAUGUUUGAAGACAAUAAGUGGUGGUGUAUCUUGUUUCUAAUAAGAUAAACUUUUUUAUCUUUGCUUUAUCUUAUUAGGGAGUUGUAUGUUAGUGUAUAAAACA